rnacentral:lncRNA from 1 species
GGCUCAUCACUCAUGGUUGAACCCGGAGCCUCUUGCUGGUAGGUGCUUCAGGACUGGCUCUGGGAGCCUGUGGCUCCUGCCGGGUACCCACCGGUUGAGAUACCUCAAGUUUUAAAUGCCACCUCCUUCCUGAAGCCUUCCUUGCUGCUCCCCCAAACUAGAGGCAGGAGUUUUGUCCUUCAGAUAACCUAUGGCAUUUGAGUCACUCUGAUUUGAUGAAUUCUGCCUUCACUUGAGCAGCUAUUAGGGGCAUAUGUCAGUCAUUCAUUCCUCAGUUCAUGUAUUUAUUCAGCAAAUAUUUACUGAGCACGUACUGCGUGCCAGGCACUGUCCUGCUGUGGAAAACAGCAGGCAUGAUUCCCUGCCACUACCAACCACUGCAUCGCAUAACUGGCAGACUCCCAGCUUCAAGGAGAGGCACGGAGGGAAACUGAGAGCAGCCUGCAGAGGGGAAAGAGCGGGGACAGAGGGUCACGGAGGUCGCAGGGGCGUGUGUGCAGCACCUGCCAGUGAACGGAAUGUGCGGCUCCAGAUGUCGUUGUCUUUAAACUUCGGAAUUUCCUUUCACUAAAGAACCAAGUCCAGGGGGAGGAAAGAGUGAAUACAAAUUAUCCAAGAAACUCAAGAGCUCAUUUUAGUUCUCCUGAUUAUGAUCUUAAAGGCAUUAAGCGCUCAAGUUAAACUCCUUGUGACCCACAUAGGUUAGCAGAAUUUAAAUCCUAGGUGAUUAUUAACUCUAAUCAUACAUCUAAUGACCUAUAUUGAAGAUACACUGCCUGCUUAGUUGUGGCUUCAGCCUUUGCUCCGUCACUGAUAGUUCUAGCCUGAAAAGCAAAUGAGCCCUCAUGCUCACGAUUUCACCACAGUCACAUAAGCGGGAAGAGCAGGCUCCUGGCUGUGGCGAGCUUGACUCCAUUUGGUUUGAUAGAAAUGAGAGGUAGAUGAUUCCCUAGACAAAUGCAGGCCUUUCUCGAAGCCCCUUUCCCAGGACGACGUGACAUGAGUGGUCUGUGCCUUCCAGGGCAGCCACGUCAUGCUUUGCCCAGCCAGGGCGGUGGGGAGGGAGACAGCCACUGCACCCGGCCAGUACAUGCUUUCUUGAUUUGUCUGUUUCCCACCUGUCUCCCCUCCCUAGAAUGGCAGCUCCAUGACGACAGAGGUGUUUCUCUGUUUUCUCCAUGGCUGCACCCUCAGCUGCUAGAAGGUGGCCCAGCAUAGGAGGUA